AGGGCACUGGAAGGUCCNUAAACCGAAAGGGGCUCUGCCCGCCCGAGGAUGGGCCGGCGGCCGAUUAGGUAGUUGGUGGGGUAACGGCCCACCAAGCCCAUAAUCGGUACGGGCAGUGAGAGCUGGAGCCCGGAGAUGGACANUGAGACACGGGUCCAGGCCCUACGGGGCGCAGCAGGCGCGAAACCUCCGCAAUGCUCGAAAGAGCGACGGGGGGACCCCAAGUGCCGUGGUACAACCACGGCUUUUCCGGAGUGUAAGAAGCUCCGGGAAUAAGGGCUGGGCAAGGCCGGUGGCAGCCGCCGCGGUAAUACCGGCGGCCCGAGUGGUGGCCACUAUUAUUGGGCCUAAAGCGUCCGUAGCCGGGCUUGUAAGUCCCUGGCGAAAUCCCACGGCUCAACCGUGGGGCUUGCUGGGGAUACUGCAAGCCUUGGGACCGGGAGAGGCCGGGGGUACUCCUGGGGUAGGGGUGAAAUCCUAUAAUCCCAGGAGGACCGCCAGUGGCGAAGGCGCCCGGCUGGAACGGGUCCGACGGUGAGGGACGAAGGCCAGGGGAGCAAACCGGAUUAGAUACCCGGGUAGUCCUGGCUGUAAAGGAUGCGGGCUAGGUGUUGCUUGGACCUCGAGUCCAAGCAGUGCCGCAGGGAAGCCG
rnacentral:rRNA from 1 species